UACGGGGGGGGCAAGCGUUGUUCGGAAUUACUGGGCGUAAAGGGCUCGUAGGCGGCCAACUAAGUCAGACGUGAAAUCCCUCGGCUUAACCGGGGAACUGCAUCUGAUACUGGAUGGCUUGAGAUUGGGAGAGGGAUGCGGAAUUCCAGGUGUAGCGGUGAAAUGCGUAGAUAUCGUAAGGAAGACCAGUGGCGAAGGCGGGUCUCUGGACAGUUCCUGACGCUGAGGCACGAAGGUCAGGGGAGCAAACGGG
rnacentral:rRNA from 1 species